rfam:Wallemia sebi CBS 633.66 unplaced genomic scaffold WALSEscaffold_1, whole genome shotgun sequence.
GCCUCGCUAGCUCAAUCGGUAGAGCGUGAGACUCUUAAUCUCAAGGCUGCGGGUUCGAGCCCCGCGUGGGGCU